UGAGGCGUCCGACUUGACACAACAUCCUGCCGCGGUGUUGUGUGACCUGCAGUGUCAGUCGGUCGACUCG
rfam:Aspergillus zonatus CBS 506.65 unplaced genomic scaffold ASPZOscaffold_11, whole genome shotgun sequence.